rnacentral:rRNA from 1 species
GACGAACGCUGGCGGCGUGCCUAAUACAUGCAAGUAGAACGCACAGUUUAUACCGUAGCUUGCUACACCAUAAACUGUGAGUUGCGAACGGGUGAGUAACGCGUAGGUAACCUGCCUGGUAGCGGGGGAUAACUAUUGGAAACGAUAGCUAAUACCGCAUAAUAUUAAUUAUUGCAUGAUAAUUGAUUGAAAGAUGCAAUUGCAUCACUACCAGAUGGACCUGCGUUGUAUUAGCUAGUAGGUGAGGUAACGGCUCACCUAGGCGACGAUACAUAGCCGACCUGAGAGGGUGAUCGGCCACACUGGGACUGAGACACGGCCCAGACUCCUACGGGAGGCAGCAGUAGGGAAUCUUCGGCAAUGGACGAAAGUCUGACCGAGCAACGCCGCGUGAGUGAAGAAGGUUUUCGGAUCGUAAAGCUCUGUUGUAAGAUAAGAACGGGUGUGAGAGUGGAAAGUUCACACUGUGACGGUAUCUUACCAGAAAGGGACGGCUAACUACGUG